rnacentral:rRNA from 1 species
UACGUAGGGCGCAAGCGUUAUCCGGAAUUAUUGGGCGUAAAGAGCUCGUAGGCGGUUUGUCGCGUCUGCCGUGAAAGUCCGGGGCUCAACUCCGGAUCUGCGGUGGGUACGGGCAGACUAGAGUGAUGUAGGGGAGACUGGAAUUCCUGGUGUAGCGGUGAAAUGCGCAGAUAUCAGGAGGAACACCGGUGGCGAAGGCGGCGACCUGGGUAGAUACUGACGCUGAGGUGCGAAAGCGUGGGGAGCAAACAGG